rnacentral:rRNA from 2 species
CCUGGCGGCUAUGCCGGGGGUUCCCCACCCGAUCCCAUCCCGAACUCGGUAGUUAAGUCCCCCAGGGCCGAUGGUACUACGUCUUAAGGCGUGGGAGAGUAGGUCGCUGCCGGGU